CAUCUCAUGCAAGCCUCUUCAAUCGAUGGCUCGAGUGCACGCGUUUGCCUCGGCCGACGUCGGGUUUCCUGUGUUGCAUACCUAUCGCGAGGGCAUUCGGUCGGCUAAAAACGUCCCGUCUCCRCCUUGUGCUGCGCCUCUCGGGGCCGCGGCGCGGGGUGGACCUCGAAGCAUUCGUCGUGUUCCACGUCCCGUGCCAGCACUCUCGUGCGUGCUCGGGUCGUCGGCCCACGACGUCUCGCUCGACCUMUCGGAUGCGGAAUAUCGUGUGGGUACGAGGCCCUCGGCCUCUAUUUGCCCCGAAAACAAGCGUUCGAAGCUUCGUGCGAACGACGGCCGUACCCCGUUUUGACCGAGCCCUCGUGGCUCGGCUCAUGCGGUGUCGGCGUCGAUGAGGAAUGC
rnacentral:misc_RNA from 1 species